rnacentral:lncRNA from 1 species
GGCAAUAUUUUCUCAUCUGCCCUUUAAUGCAAAUUAGAUGGUUGAAGAGGCGCUUCCAAGUAUCUACUCAGAUACACACAAUGACUGAUUCUGGAAGAAAGUGCAGGUCCAGAGUAUGAAAUGAAAACACAGCUAACACCAAGUUAGGAUCAUGGAAUAAUUAAGCCUGCAAAAGACUACCAAAAUCAUCAAGUACAGUCUUUGAACACCACCAUAUCAACCAAAUCGUGGCACUACGUACUAUGCCACUUCCCUAGGCAGUUCAUUCCAAUAUUUUUAAACCUUUCAGUAAAGAAAUUUUUGUGAUGAAGAAUUCACCUUCAGAAGAUUUUACCUUUCCUUUUGAGGAUCUCAGAAAUGUCAUAUUUACCUAAGGCUCACAGCAUCCAGUGUGGUACCAUUCCAUUUUAUAGAAGGGUAAAUAUGCUGGCAACAUGACUAGCAAAAGGCACAGGGGACAGAACUUCUCUAGCCCUCACACAUAGCCAAAGCUGCAGCAAAGUCACCCAGUGCAUUGUGGAGACGUAACCUGAAGUCAGGAAUUUCUGGGGGAAGUGCUUACUCUUUUCAUUGCUGUGUGUUCUACUUUGACUCUUCCUUGUUCCCAUUCAUAACAGGUUGGGGCCAGAACCGCAGCGUGAUGCCUGCAAAUGGAUUCUUGUGUGCCUGCCUUUAAUAUGGCCUGGGGGAGAUGGAUCCUAGCUUUUCUUCAGAUCCCAGAUAAUCCUGUGAUGCAGAAAAGAGGAGUAUGCCGACAAGUAUUCCUGGGAGUCUGUAAGCUUCUGAGGUGUUUUCAGCAAAAAGUGCAUGUUCACCUUCUGUGUUAUGAGAAUUUUUUUCAAAGACUAAUUUUUUCAAAGAUAAAUUUGCUGGAUCUAGAUGACAAGUGACUGAACAGACUUUUUAAAGAAAAUGACAGAUUAAAGUUACAUAUAAUCUUAAACUGCAGGUGUUCUACUGUUGAUGAUGACACAGUAGAGGAACAGAAGAAGGAGAGGAAUGAAAAGGAACAGAGGAGAGAAAAGGUUCAUCGACAGAGUGGAAGAUGGGCUGAUGGGGCAAUUUGCAUUAUUUAUAAGGGCUGCUGGUCAGCAGCAAAAUAAACACUUCCAGCUCUUCUCAAUAAAUAUUUUUUUUUUACAAUGCAACAGAAAAAAAAAAAAAGUAAAUUUUACUAUUUCGCUCACAGUUACUGAUUUGAACAUCAUUUUAUAGUACUAUGUGGAACAAAUUUUGAAACAACUACUGCUUUGUUUCUAGCUCAGUGCUAAGAUGACUUCAUUCAGUAUCACAAAAUUCAGGUUUAUUUCUGCUGCUGAUCAGUGAUAACAUGCAUGAGUAAACCAAGAGUUGUCACUUCCGCCUGCCACUUUACCUUCAUUUUUUUGAUAAAUCCGAAGAGCUGUAGAUAAAUGACUUUGAUACCAUCUGUACUUGCAAUUAGUACCAAAGUUACAAAUAUGUUCAUGUGGAUGUAAUUGAGGGCAAAACUUGAGGCUGCUAGAUUUCAAUUCACUGUACAAACACAAUUUCUUCCAGUUAUUUGACACCUUUUAAACUUUAUGUCUUUAAUGAGAGAAACUGAAAAUGAGAAAACUCCUUAAUGAGGGAAAUUGAAAUGGAGAUGGCUCCACAGCCUCAAAGUAAGCCAUAAAAGGAGGCUAGACUGUUUUGUUUUUCUACUAACUCACUGGAUCAAAUCCUAUCUCCUUAAAUCAGUUCCCUACCUCCCAUUUCUUUAUUGGAAACACAAUUUGUUCUUUAUUCGCCUGAAAUUUCCAUUGCUUAGGAAAAGGGCUCUGAAGGUCACGAGACUGCUUAUGUUUAACAAAAGACAAAAUGUGGCUUACAAGUCUUUGUUUUAUUUGCUUAAAGAACAUUUUUUAUUUUGUUUAAAUGUUUCACUGUUAAUUUGGGCACAGGGAGAUGCUGUAAGUAGUGUUCAUUAAACCUAGGAAUGAAUUUAGGGGCAUGGGAUCAGGUCUUCUAUUCCUCACUCUCUAAGUAAGCUUUUUGAAAUUAGUGAGAACACUACCCUUGUUCUGUCCAGAUGGUUAUUGAAUUAUGAACAUUAUUUAGUAGAAGAUACAACUGAUGGCAAUUUAGAAGCAUAUGAAGUUAACAUGAGAUAUUCAGGCUGCAAUCCAAAGUGGAACAGAUGGAUCUGGAAUUGGUUAAUGCUAGAUCAAGGA